CCCUAUCAACUUUCGAUGGUAAGGUAUUGGCUUACCAUGGUUUCAACGGGUAACGGGGGAUUAGGGUUCGAUCCCGGAGAGCGAGCUUGAGAGACGGCUAGCACAUCCAAGGAAGGCAGCAGGCGCGCAAAUUACCCAAUGCCAACACGGCGAGGUAGUGACAAUAAAUACUGAUACAGGGCUCUUUUGGGUCUUGUAAUUGGAAUGAGUACAAUUUAAACCUCUUAACGAGGAACAAUUGGAGGGCAAGUCUGGUGCCAGCAGCCGCGGUAAUUCCAGCUCCAAUAGCGUAUAUUAAAGUUGUUGCAGUUAAAAAGCUCGUAGUUGAACCUUUGGCCUGGCUGGCGGGUCUGCCUCACCGCAUGCACUCGUCCGGCCGGGCCUUCUCUUCUGGAGAACCGCAUGCCCUUCAUUGGGUGUGUUGGGGACCAGGACUUUUACUUUGAAAAAAUUAGAGUGUUCAAAGCAGGCCUUUGCUCGAAUACGUUAGCAUGGAAUAAUAGAAUAGGACGUGCGGUCCUAUUUUGUUGGUUUCUAGGACCGCCGUAAUGAUUAAUAGGGACAGUCGGGGGCAUCAGUAUUCAAUUGUCAGAGGUGAAAUUCUUGGAUUUAUUGAAGACUAACUACUGCGAAAGCAUUUGCCAAGGAUGUUUUCAUUAAUCAGUGAACGAAAGUUAGGGGAUCGAAGACGAUCAGAUACCGUCGUAGUCUUAACCAUAAACUAUGCCGACUAGGGAUCGGGCGGUGUUUCUAAUAUGACCCGUUCGGCACCUUGCGAGAAAUCAAAGUG
rnacentral:rRNA from 1 species